AAAGAUUAAGCCAUGCAUGUAUAAGUAUAAACGACUUGAUCGUGAAACCGCGAACGGCUCAUUAUAACAGCUAUAAUUUACUUGAUCUUGACAACCUACUUGGAUAACUGUGGUAAUUCUAGAGCUAAUACAUGCACCAAAGCUCCGACCGUAAGGGAAGAGCGCAUUUAUUAGAACAAAACCAAGCGGCUUCGGCCGUCCAAUGUUGACUCAGAAUAACUAAGCUGAUCGCAUGGUCUUGUACCGGCGACGUGUCUUUCAAGUAUCUGCCUUAUCAACUUUCGAUGGUAGUGUAUCUGACUACCAUGGUGAUGACGGGUAACGGAGGAUAAGGGUUCGACUCCGGAGAAGGGGCCUGAGAAAUGGCCACUACGUCUAAGGAUGGCAGCAGGCGCGCAAAUUACCCACUCUCAGAACGAGGAGGUAGUGACGAGAAAUAACGAGACCGUUCUCUUAAGAGGCCGGUCAUCGGAAUGGGUACAAUUUAAACCCUUUAACGAGUAUCUAUGAGAGGGCAAGUCUGGUGCCAGCAGCCGCGGUAAUUCCAGCUCUCAAAAUGCAUAGAAUUAUUGCUGCGGUUAAAAAGCUCGUAGUUGGAUCUGUGCUGGCCUCCCGGUCCACCUUCGGGUGUGCACUGGUGAGGUUGGCUUUCCUGCCCAUUUUUCGGUCAGUGCCUUUAACCGGGUGCUGGUCGUAGUGGGCAAGUUUACUUUGAACAAAUCAGAGUGCUCAAAACAGGCGUUUCGCUUGAAUGUUCGUGCAUGGAAUAAUAGAAGAGGAUUUCGGUUCUAUUUUAUUGGUUUUAUAGACUGAGAUAAUGGUUAACAGAGACAAACGGGGGCAUUCGUAUUGCUACGUGAGAGGUGAAAUUCUUGGACCGUAGCAAGACGAACUACAGCGAAAGCAUUUGCCAAGAAUG
rnacentral:rRNA from 1 species